GACGAACGCUGGCGGCGUGCCUAAUACAUGCAAGUUGAGCGAUGAAGAUUGGUGCUUGCACCAAUUUGAAGAGCAGCGGACGGGUGAGUAACGCGUGGGGAAUCUGCCUUUGAGCGGGGGACAACAUUUGGAAACGAAUGCUAAUACCGCCUAAUAACUUUAAACAUAAGUUUUAAGUUUGAAAGAUGCCAUUGCAUCACUCAAAGAUGAUCCCGCGUUGUAUUAGCUAGUUGGUGAGGUAAAGGCUCACCAAGGCGAUGAUACAUAGCCGACCUGAGAGGGUGAUCGGCCACAUUGGGACUGAGACACGGCCCAAACUCCUACGGGAGGCAGCAGUAGGGAAUCUUCGGCAAUGGACGAAAGUCUGACCGAGCAACGCCGCGUGAGUGAAGAAGGUUUUCGGAUCGUAAAACUCUGUUGGUAGAGAAGAACGUUGGUGAGAGUGGAAAGCUCAUCAAGUGACGGUAACUACCCAGAAAGGGACGGCUAACUACGUG
rnacentral:rRNA from 1 species